GGAAUGAGAACGCUCAAGUUGUUCUGUUGUUUCUUGUGUUUUACUACAUCAUAAACAAAACCAUGUGAUCUGCACAGAAAAGACGCAGACGCCACUGGAUUGGACACAGAGUGUGAACAGA